rnacentral:rRNA from 1 species
UCCUACGGGGGGCAGCAGUGAGGAAUAUUGGUCAAUGGGCGCAGGCCUGAACCAGCCAAGUCGCGUGAGGGAAGACUGCCCUAUGGGUUGUAAACCUCUUUUAUAAGGGAAGAAUAAUGACUACGUGUAGUCAGAUGCCCGUACCUUAUGAAUAAGCAUCGGCUAACUCCGUGCCAGCAGCCGCGGUAAUACGGAGGAUGCGAGCGUUAUCCGGAUUUAUUGGGUUUAAAGGGUGCGCAGGCGGCACGGCAAGCCGGCGGUCAAAUCGCGGGGCUCAACCCCGCCCAGCCGUCGGAACUGCCGGG